rnacentral:lncRNA from 1 species
GAAGAUAGGAUCACUACUGUUCAUGCUAAUAUUGCACAGUAUCACUGAAAGUCAGUGGUACAGAAAAACACAGCAGUACAGCUGCUACCCCAACCACUUCCCUGCAGAGCAUGAGUCAAGACUGAUGAAGGACUGGGAGAAACCAAGGACAGUGCUUCAGUGCGGCAGUGCCCCGGAGCAGUUACACAAAAAUCAAUUCCCUCUUCAAGCAAACAUAUGCAAGUACUGCAUUUAUUUCUGGACUUUGCUACUGUUCCCAGAUUUGUUAAGAUGACCACUGGCAUCUUGGACAUAUAGGAGAACAUAAAUAUGUUACCUUCUGGAUAUAAGCAUGGUGGAAAAAUCAGGAAGCCACUUUUACCUGGAAGUUGCCUUCCCUCCCUCAAAGUCUAGUAGGAACAUAAAGAGAUUCAGUUCAAGAGAAGUAUUGUCAGAAAAAAAGAAUUGUCAACAGAAGAGGGGAAGUCAGAGAAACUUUGAUUUGAAAAUUCUAUCUAUUCUUUUAACUGACUCUGAGCAGGACCCAUAGACACCAAUGCAAAAUUGUUUUGUUCUGCCCAUUUCUUAAAUAAACAAUCUCAAUACUUUUUGAUCUCUUUCUCC